rnacentral:sRNA from 1 species
GCUGGGUGCAGUGGCUCACGCCUGUAAUCCCAGCAGCUUGGGAGCCUGAGGCAGGAGGAUUGUUGAGUUCAAAGCCAGCCUCAGCAAAAGCGAGAUGUAAUAGAGAGACCCUGUUUCUA